CCAGGGCAAGUGUCACCAUAGCGAGAGCUCCUGCAAGGCGGGCCCUGCAGGGCCCAGCCCACGGGCCUGCCCGGGUCCACCUGUCUGUCCAGGACACUCUGUCCAGGACGCUCUGUGUUCAGGGACAGUCUGUCUGUCCAGGCCUGCCUUCCACAGAGGCCUCAGCCCUGGGCUCACCCUGACCCUGCAGCCGCCCACGGCCAGCCCAGGACCCCUCGGAGAACAGGUGGAGCACGUUCCGGAAAACUUCCCAGGCCUUCAAGUGCAUACCGUGUGAGCUCACUUACGUGUGGAAUCUAAAAACAACACAAAACACACAACCGAACUCACAGACACAGGGCAGCUUGGUGGCUGCAGCGGCAGGUGGGCUGGUGAUGGCGGUCAGACAGUACAAACUUCCAGAAAGAAAAGAGAAACGAAUACUGGAAUGGCUUCUGCUGCGUGUGGGUGUGUUUCGAUCGACGGGUGUUACUGGAACCUGAAACCCUCCCAUUACUUUGCACUGAUUCCCUUUGGAAGCAGAUGGGCGAUAACGGAGCGUUUGGAGGGAGAAAGCCCUGGAGCCUCCAAGAAGACGCCCCUCCCCGCACCCACCCUGCACCCUGUGCCUCCACACGCAGACCUGCUGACCUCUGUGCCCACGGGUCCUCCUCAGGGAAGUGAUUGCAAAUGUGUGGAGUCAACACGUGGGAUGAUGGUGACGGAGCCACACAUGCCGGGACACAGAUGCGCAGAUAGUUCUCUAAAAACACAGCCAUGAGUCCCGGCCAGUUUGGCUCAGUGGAUAGAGCAUCAGCCUUCGGACUGAAGGGUCCCGGGUUCAAUUCUGGUCAAGGGCACAUGCCUGGGUUGUGAGCUCGAUCCCCAGUAGGGGGCGUGCAGGAGGCAGCCCAUUGAUGAUUCUCUCCCAUCAUUGAUGUUUCUAUCUCUCUCUCCCUCUCCCUUCCUCUCUAAAAUCAAUAAAAAAUAUAUUUAAAUAAUA